UACAGAGGAUGCAAGCGUUAUCCGGAAUGAUUGGGCGUAAAGCGUCUGUAGGUGGCUUUUUAAGUCCGCCGUCAAAUCCCAGGGCUCAACUCUGGACAGGCGGUGGAAACUACCAAGCUGGAGUACGGUAGGGGCAGAGGGAAUUUCCGGUGGAGCGGUGAAAUGCGCAGAUAUCGGGAAGAACACCCGUGGCGAAGGCGGUUCUCUGGGACGGUACUGACGCUGAGGAGCGAAAGCGUGGGGAGCGAACAGG
rnacentral:rRNA from 1 species